rnacentral:rRNA from 1 species
UCGAACAUACCUUGUCUCCACAUUGGAUCCAAAACAGAAUCAGAGGGAUCAAAAACUGCUAAUUCAUAUAAAGCCAUUGAGUCAGCCCAACCAGCUCUAGCUGUGUGCAUUAUAUGCACCGCAAGCAAUCGACCCGGAUCAUUCAAUGCGACAGUAUGA